UGGGGAAUAUUGGACAAUGGGCGCAAGCCUGAUCCAGCCAUACCGCGUGGGUGAAGAAGGCCUUCGGGUUGUAAAGCCCUUUUGUUGGGAAAGAAAUCCAGCUGGUUAAUACCCGGUUGGGAUGACGGUACCCAAAGAAUAAGCACCGGCUAACUUCGUGCCAGCAGCCGCGGUAAUACGAAGGGUGCAAGCGUUACUCGGAAUUACUGGGCGUAAAGCGUGCGUAGGUGGUCGUUUAAGUCCGUUGUGAAAGCCCUGGGCUCAACCUGGGAACUGCAGUGGAUACUGGACGACUAGAGUGUGGUAGAGGGUAGCGGAAUUCCUGGUGUAGCAGUGAAAUGCGUAGAGAUCAGGAGGAACAUCCAUGGCGAAGGCAGCUACCUGGACCAACACUGACACUGAGGCACGAAAGCGUGGGGAGCAAACAGGAUUAGAUACCCUGGUAGUCCACGCCCUAAACGAUGCGAACUGGAUGUUGGGUGCAAUUUGGCACGCAGUAUCGAAGCUAACGCGUUAAGUUCGCCGCCUGGGAGUACGGUCGCAAGACUGAAACUCAAAUGAAUUGAC
rnacentral:rRNA from 1 species